GGUGAACGCUGGCGGCGUGCUUAACACAUGCAAGUCGAACGGUGAAGGCGGAGCUUGCUCUGCUGGAUCAGUGGCGAACGGGUGAGUAACACGUGAGCAAUCUGCCCCUGACUCUGGGAUAAGCGCUGGAAACGGCGUCUAAUACUGGAUACGAGCUGCGAAGGCAUCUUCAGCAGCUGGAAAGAAUUUCGGUCAGGGAUGAGCUCGCGGCCUAUCAGCUUGUUGGUGAGGUAAUGGCUCACCAAGGCGUCGACGGGUAGCCGGCCUGAGAGGGUGACCGGCCACACUGGGACUGAGACACGGCCCAGACUCCUACGGGAGGCAGCAGUGGGGAAUAUUGCACAAUGGGCGAAAGCCUGAUGCAGCAACGCCGCGUGAGGGACGACGGCCUUCGGGUUGUAAACCUCUUUUAGCAGGGAAGAAGCGAAAGUGACGGUACCUGCAGAAAAAGCGCCGGCUAACUACGUG
rnacentral:rRNA from 1 species